rnacentral:rRNA from 1 species
UACGUAGGAUGCGAGCGUUGUCCGGAAUUAUUGGGCGUAAAGAGAACGUAGGCGGUUUGUUAAGUUUGGGCUUAAAGACUGGGGCUCAACCCCAGGAGUGGCUCGAAAACUGACAGACUAGAGGAUGGCAGAGGAAAGUGGAAUUCCCAGUGUAGCGGUGAAAUGCGUAGAUAUUGGGAGGAACACCAGUGGCGAAAGCGACUUUCUGGGCCAUUCCUGACGCUGAGGUUCGAAAGCUCGAGGAGCAAACAGG